rnacentral:lncRNA from 1 species
AUGGCAGCUGCUCUCCCUUCCUGGUCACAGCUGGAGGUCAGAGGCUGGCAUCUUGGUCUGGUCUGUAAUCCCCGGGAGACUUUGAAGACCACCAGCACCCCCAAACGUGCUCUAGAGUCUCAGGGAGAGGAAGACGGUGUUGAUGAUGAAGAAGACAACAAACGAGAGAGGAAAAUGGUAUUAAUCAGAAUUAUUUUCCCCCAAUAUUUAUUUGAAAGACAACAGGGAAGGCCGGCGCCGCGGCUCACUAGGCUAAUCCUCUGCCUUGUGGCACUGGCACACCGGGUUCUAGUCCCGGUCGGGGCACCGGAUUCUGUCCCAGUUGCCUCUCUUCCAGGCCAGCUCUCUGCCAUGGCCUGGGAGUGCAGUGGAGGAUGGCCCAAGUGCUUGGGCCCUGCACCCCAUGGGAGACCAGGAGAAGCACCUGGCUCCUGCCAUCGGAUCAGCGCGGUGUGCUGGCCGCAGCGCGCCGGCCGCGGUGGCCAUUGGAGGGUGAACCAACGGCAAAAAGGAAGACCUUUCUCUCUGUCUCUCUCACUGUCCACUCUGCCUGUCAAAAAAAAAAAAAAAAAGGCACCAGGGUUACAGACAGGCAGAGAGAGAGAGAGAGAGAGAGAGAUCUUCCAUCCACUGGUUUACUCUCCAAUGGCUGCAAAGGCUGGAGCUGCACCGAUGCGAAGCCAGGAGCCUGAAGCUUCUUCCAAGUUCUUCUGGGUCUCCCACGCAGGUGCAGGGGCCCAAGGACUUGGACUGUCUUCCACUGCUUUCCCAAGUGCAUUAGCAGAGAGCUGGAUUGGAAGUGGAGCAGCCAGGACUCGAACCAGCACCCAUGUGGGAUGCCAGUGCUGCAGGCAGCAGCUUUACCUGGUGUGCCACACUGCUAGCCCCUUAACCAAAAUUCUUGGGCACAGGCUUUGGGAAGGUGGCCAGUCUGCUGGAAUUACCUCCAACAAAAUCGUAGGGAUGACUGGGCUGCUAAUUCCCUGGCAGUCACUUGAAGCAAGGGGUCAUAGGCGGGGAGUCUGGCUUUGA